rnacentral:SRP_RNA from 1 species
UGGAAUUCCUGUGAUUCCUCUAGCUCAAGUGGGGGCAUUAAGGUGGGCGGAUGUUGUUUCAGUUGAGCGGGUAGGGACUGAUGGGGUUAAAUGCUCGCCUACCCGUUCCAAGUUGGGAGAUGAGUCUCGACGUCCGGGCGAAGACGUGGGUGACGUGGUUCCUAGAGUGGAGGGCACCACAUGAGGCUAGUUUCACAUCUCCUCCUGCUCUCGUCGGUGGAAGGAUAACUGGCCGGUGCUCCGCAGGGUCCCACAGCACCUCUUCAGCCGCUCACAAUCUGACAUCCACCUUU